UAUGGUCAUACGGAUUGUUGAU
rnacentral:miRNA from 1 species